rnacentral:rRNA from 1 species
AGGGAAUAUUGGGCAAUGGGCGAAAGCCUGACCCAGCCAUGCCGCGUGAAGGAUGAAGGCCUUCUGGGUUGUAAACUUCUUUUAUAUAGGAAGAAAAAGGUCAUGCGUGACCAAUUGACGGUACUAUAUGAAU